UUGCAGCCAUAUCACGUUGAAAAACCUGUUCACGUACGAUCAUCAAGGCUAAGCAAACACGAGCCUGGUCAGUACCUAGAUGGGUGACCGUUUGGGAAUAUCGGGGUGCUGUCAG